rnacentral:rRNA from 1 species
GACGAACGCUGGCGGCGUGCUUAACACAUGCAAGUCGAACGGAAAGGCCCUGCUUUUGUGGGGUGCUCGAGUGGCGAACGGGUGAGUAACACGUGAGUAACCUGCCCUUGACUUUGGGAUAACUUCAGGAAACUGGGGCUAAUACCGGAUAGGAGCUCCUGCUGCAUGGGGGGGGUUGGAAAGUUUCGGCGGUUGGGGAUGGACUCGCGGCUUAUCAGCUUGUUGGUGGGGUAGUGGCUUACCAAGGCUUUGACGGGUAGCCGGCCUGAGAGGGUGACCGGCCACAUUGGGACUGGGAUACGGCCCAGACUCCUACGGGAGGCAGCAGUGGGGAAUAUUGCACAAUGGGCGGAAGCCUGAUGCAGCAACGCCGCGGGCGGGAUGACGGCCUUCGGGUUUUAACCCGCUUUCGCCUGUGACGAAGCGUGAGUGACGGUAAUGGGUAAAGAAGCACCGGCUAACUACGUG